UACGGAGGGGACUAGCGUUGUUCGGAAUUACUGGGCGUAAAGCGCACGUAGGCGGAUUUGUAAGUCAGGGGUGAAAUCCCGGGGCUCAACCUCGGAACUGCCUUUGAUACUGCAAAUCUCGAGUCCGGGAGAGGAGAGUGGAAUUCCUGGUGUAGCGGUGAAAUGCGCAGAUAUCAGGAAGAACACCUAUGGCGAAGGCAGCUCUCUGGGACGGUACUGACGCUGAGACGCGAAAGCGUGGGGAGCGAACAGG
rnacentral:rRNA from 1 species